GACUCUCGAACCACCCAGCUGGCCUCGGAGAGAUUCCAUAUUGUGGAUUCUGGCUCCGUUAUCAUGAAUGACACUUUGACAUCAGAUGUCGUUGGUCAAAGAGUUGAAGUCAAUGGAGAACGUGCCACGGUUCUUUUCUAUGGCCCUGUCCCUCCUGUGGCAGGACUCUGGUUAGGAGUAGAAUGGGA